GCCUCGGUAGCUCAGUGGUAGAGCGACAGCCUCGUAAGCUGCUGGUCGCGGGUUCAAUCCCCGCCCGAGGCUCCA
rnacentral:tRNA from 1 species